AUUUGGAACUCAGUUUUCUUUAAUAAUUGACUUAGACAGUAAUAAUGGUUCAGUAAUUUUAUUUCAUUUGGAUUCAUCUGGUUUUUAUGAAUGAAAUAAAGAAUUUAUGAUUCUUGUAAAAAUGAAAGUGGUUUCUACCCCUCGUGGUAGCGUGUUUUAAAAAGAAAAAGUUUCCGUGUGGGAAACGGUUUUAAAAGGCUUCUUGGUUUUCAUGACUUAGUGUUUUAAAACGAGUUUUCGAGCAGGAAACGUUUUAAACUAAUAGAUGUGAACUUAUGAAUAUUUGUGAUGAAAUUCUGAAUGUGAAUGGUGCACGAAUACGUGUAUGUUCAUAUAUGGUGGUUGUAUCCUGUAUUGUGUAUAUUGUACUUGUGCGACGCCGUGCAAAUAUAGGGAGACUCUGUCCGUGUGAACAAUGGACUCCCUAUAUUUGUGGCGGAUCUGGCAUAUCCUGGGAGUUCAGGUUUUUCAAAAAAAAAAAAAACUUGGACACUUCCGCAAUGACUUUUAUACAAAAAGGAACCCCGGGGCGUGACACCAACUGUGACGCCCCGACUUUCCAGGAGAUCACCCAUCUUAGGACUACUUGAGGUCUCACAGCUAAGAAGUACUUAGCUGUGUGAGCAUCUGCAUAUUAUGUUUGUUGGCAAUGUGAGUGAAAAUUAUGAGUCGUGAAAUGUAAUAAGUGGUACGCUGUGUAAAUAUAAAGGAGAGUCUAUUCACAUGGUUAGAGCAAUCUCUAUAUUUGUGGCGGGUCUAUCUGUCACAUGAGCAAGAUUGUUGUUUA
rnacentral:lncRNA from 1 species